GAUCACGGCCUGCUUAGUGUACUUCCUGCUAAGUCAAAGCGUUGGCGCUGUUGGAAUCUUCAGCUCAGCUAUUGCAGUGUCAACAAUGUUUCCCAUUCCACUCGUAUACUCUAACAUAGGAAUCGGUCUGGCAGGCACAAUAUACACUGCACUGGGAGGUCUUCGUGGAGUUGUGUGGGCUGACUGC
rnacentral:lncRNA from 1 species